rnacentral:rRNA from 1 species
UACUCUUAACGGUGAAUUACUUGAUUUGUGGAUCGAUGAAGAACGCAGCUGGUUACGAUAAAUAGUGCGAUUUGCAGACACAUUGUGCACUAAAAUUUCUCAGAUUCUGCUUCAGGAACC